AUUGAACGCUGGCGGAAUGCUUUACACAUGCAAGUCGAACGGUAGAGGGGGCAACCCCUUGAGAGUGGCGAACGGGUGAGUAAUAUAUCGGAACGUGCCCAGUCGUGGGGAUAACGUAGCGAAAGUUACGCUAAUACCGCAUACGAUCUAAGGAUGAAAGCGGGGGACUCGCAAGAGCCUCGCGCGAUUGGAGCGGCCGAUAUCAGAUUAGGUAGUUGGUGGGGUAAAGGCUCACCAAGCCAACGAUCUGUAGCUGGUCUGAGAGGACGACCAGCCACACUGGAACUGAGACACGGUCCAGACUCCUACGGGAGGCAGCAGUGGGGAAUUUUGGACAAUGGACGCAAGUCUGAUCCAGCCAUUCCGCGUGCAGGAUGAAGGCCCUCGGGUUGUAAACUGCUUUUUGUACGGAACGAAAAGGUUUCUAUUAAUACUAGGAGCUCAUGACGGUACCGUAAGAAUAAGCACCGGCUAACUACGUGCCAGCAGCCGCGGU
rnacentral:rRNA from 1 species